rnacentral:lncRNA from 1 species
UACUAUUUUCCUGAAACCUAAUGGAUGAAACGUUUUGUUUAUUGAGAAGGCAUCUCAUUCAUUUUCAUCACUCCACUAAAGGUUCAUUUUCAAGAAUUUCGAAAGGGUCAUUGAGAAAUCGAGAAUCUUUGCAUUGCUUUAAUUCAUUACCUCUAUUCACUGUGAAUGAUUUAACCCGGUUAGUUCAAGAUUCAAUUUUGUUUAUUUUUCUUAUCAAUUUGAAUAACUGUCUAGUGUAUAAUCCGAGUAAAAAUCUAAUCUAGUCUUCUGAUGCUAUUCAACAAAUUUUAAUCCUUAUUAUUAUUAUUAUUAUUAUUAUUAUUAUUAUUAUUAUUAUUAUUAUUAUUAGGUGCAUUUAUAAUAAAUUUUAAUCAUAUAAUCAAUAAUAAUUUAGGAAUGAAUUAUAGCCCUUGUUUGAUUACCUUUAAAAUUUUAAUACAUUUUUCUAUCUUUUACUUUCAACAACACAUUUUUCAAUAAAAUAAUAUUAUACGUAAAUUAAAAAAAUUUCAUUCUUUUUUAGCCAUACAAUCUUCUAAAAACUACUAUUUCAAACAACAUUUUACCCAAAUUUCUCAUUAUAAUGGUUGUCAAACAAAGGAAUAAUAAAAGCACUCAAUAAAUUUAAGUAGUAAUGAAAUAAAUAAUUUUAAUUAUUUUUGAGAUUAAUAGAUUGUCAAGAAUUAAAAGAAAAAAAUGGAAAAAAAAAUGAUGAAAUAGUGUUCAUUUACUGCAAGUUUUGAUGUUUGGAUUGAAAAUAAUUUUCAGGUUACGCAAUAUUUAUAUCAAAAUGGACCCCAAAUUUCGGUGCAAUGAUUGAAGAUGGGCACAACAUAUUCCACUACUCGAUUUUUUUCUCAAUAUUACCGUAAGCCACUCUGACACUGUAGUAGUAUGUACAUUUCUGGGCCUAAUUUUAAGCAAAAUUUUGCACUUGACUGACAAGAAAGGUUAGCCCCACGUGUCCCUAAUGUUUCAUUCCUCUGAACCUAUCUUCACGUUUGUUGAGUCAUAAAAGUCAAAUCUGGUGUGUGAACAAAAAGCUUCAUACAGAAGUAUGUCAGAACACACAUAUAAGGGCGUGGGUGAGAAUAUUUUGGCAAUUUUUUAUUUAUGAUAAAUUCCACACAUGAGAGUAAUCUGACCAAAUUCUGUUGAAUUUUUUUUUGUACAAUUGGCUUAAUACCAGAACCGUUCUCAAAUCAACAACUGCAUCAACGCGUGAGUACAAGCUCCAUAAACAACAAAAAUCUCAUGAACCCACCAUACAUUUUUACUUAGAGGGUGUUUAAACCACAUUAUUUUGGUAAUGGAAAAUUCUAUUUGUACAUAAUUAUUGUAUAUAAUGUUGUCCAUAAUGUGAUGUGACAAUAGUUCGAUUGUUGAUGUGCAAGUGUGAGAUUUAAAUUAAAAGUUUGAUCCAGUGCCACGUGUAAUUAUGGACACUAUUAUAUAAAAAUUAUGUAUGUAUAACACUUUUUAUUUGUAAUAAUGCAUUCUUAAAUAGUGUAUUGAUGGGAAAUAUAUAGUUAAAAAAUAAAGAAAUUUUUUUGAUCUGUAUGUAAUAUUAUUUUAUUAAAAAAUAUGUAAUUAAAAUAAUAUUAAAUCACUGUUUAAGGAUAUAUUUUUUUUAAAUAAUGUGGCUGCCCUUAUAAUUAUCUCCUGUCCAAAUAUAAUAAUAAUUAUUUUUGUACUAUUUUCCUGAAACCUAAUGGAUGAAACGUUUUGUUUAUUGAGAAGGCAUCUCAUUCAUUUUCAUCACUCCACUAAAGGUUCAUUUUCAAGAAUUUCGAAAGGGUCAUUGAGAAAUCGAGAAUCUUUGCAUUGCUUUAAUUCAUUACCUCUAUUCACUGUGAAUGAUUUAACCCGGUUAGUUCAAGAUUCAAUUUUGUUUAUUUUUCUUAUCAAUUUGAAUAACUGUCUAGUGUAUAAUCCGAGUAAAAAUCUAAUCUAGUCUUCUGAUGUGAAGUGAAUUUCAAGAAAAAUCUGUGUAAUUUCU